rnacentral:rRNA from 1 species
GAGUUUGAUCCUGGCUCAGGACGAACGCUGGCGGCGUGCUUAACACAUGCAAGUCGAACGGAGCACCCCUGAAGGAGUUUUUGGACAACGGAUGGGAAUGCUUAGUGGCGGACUGGUGAGUAACGCGUGAGGAACCUGCCUUCCAGAGGGGGACAACAGUUGGAAACGACUGCUAAUACCGCAUGAUGCGUUGGAGCCGCAUGACUCCGACGUCAAAGAUUUAUCGCUGGAAGAUGGCCUCGCGUCUGAUUAGCUAGUUGGUGAGGUAACGGCCCACCAAGGCGACGAUCAGUAGCCGGACUGAGAGGUUGGCCGGCCACAUUGGGACUGAGAUACGGCCCAGACUCCUACGGGAGGCAGCAGUGGGGAAUAUUGGGCAAUGGACGCAAGUCUGACCCAGCAACGCCGCGUGAAGGAAGAAGGCUUUCGGGUUGUAAACUUCUUUUAAGGGGGAAGAGCAGAAGACGGUACCCCUUGAAUAAGCCACGGCUAACUACGUGCCAGCAGCCGCGGUAAUACGUAGGUGGCAAGCGUUGUCCGGAUUUACUGGGUGUAAAGGGCGUGCAGCCGGAGAGACAAGUCAGAUGUGAAAUCCACGGGCUCAACCCGUGAACUGCAUUUGAAACUGUUUCCCUUGAAUGUCGGAGAGGUAAUCGGAAUUCCUUGUGUANCGGUGAAAUGCGUAGAUAUAAGGAAGAACACCAGUGGCGAAGGCGGAUUACUGGACCAAUACUUGACGGUGAAGGGCGAAAACCGUGGGGAACCAACNGGAAUUAAAUACCCU